rnacentral:misc_RNA from 1 species
AACGCAUCUUGCGCCCAGUGGUUAUUCCGUUGGGCAUGCCUGUCUGAGUGUCCUUAUUCUUCUCAGCCCCUACUUUUUGUCAUGAAGAGUACGGGGUCUGGAACCUGAGUGCCGGUUUUGUUACUAAAGCCCACUUGAAUGACAAGGUCCGACGCACAGAAGCGGCUUGACCGGGUGUUGUAAAGUCACCUCACUCGGAACGCUUCAGCGUUGGAAACUUAAUCAAAAGACAAUAAGCGAUUUUGACCUCAGAUCAGGUAGGAUUACCCGCUGAACUUAA